rnacentral:tRNA from 7 species
GGGUCGAUGCCCGAGUGGUUAAAGGGGGCGGACUGUAAAUCCGCUGGCUUAUGCCUACGUUGGUUCGAAUCCAACUCGGCCCACCA